UAGUGGCAGACGGGUGAGUAAUGCGUAGGAAUCUACCUAGUAGUACGGAAUAGCCAUUAGAAAUGGUGGGUAAUACUGUAUAAUCCCCGAGGGGGAAAGAUUUAUCGCUAUUAGAUGAGCCUACGUUAGAUUAGCUAGUUGGUGAGGUAAUGGCUUACCAAGGCUAUGAUCUAUAGCUGGUCUGAGAGGACGAUCAGCCACACUGGAACUGAGAUACGGUCCAGACUCCUACGGGAGGCAGCAGUGGGGAAUAUUGGACAAUGGGCGAAAGCCUGAUCCAGCUAUGCCGCGUGAGUGAAGAAGGCCUUCGGGUUGUAAAACUCUUUCAAUAGGGAAGAUAAUGCCGGGUACCUAUAAAA
rnacentral:rRNA from 1 species